rnacentral:rRNA from 1 species
UGGGGAAUCUUCCGCAAUGGACGAAAGUCUGACGGAGCAACGCCGCGUGAGGGAUGAAGGCCUUCGGGUUGUAAACCUCUGUCUUCAGGGAAGAAAAAAAUGACGGUACCUGAGGAGGAAGCCCCGGCUAACUACGUGCCAGCAGCCGCGGUAAUACGUAGGGGGCGAGCGUUAUCCGGAAUUAUUGGGCGUAAAGGGCGCGUAGGCGGAUAUUUAAGUCAGAUGUGAAAACCCAGGGCUCAACCCUGGAUCUGCAUCUGAUACUGGGUAUCUUGAGGACAGGAGAGGAAAGUGGAAUUCCUAGUGUAGCGGUGAAAUGCGUAGAUAUUAGGAGGAACACCAGUGGCGAAGGCGACUUUCUGGACUGUAACUGACGCUGAGGCGCGAAAGCGUGGGGAGCAAACA